rnacentral:rRNA from 1 species
CGAGGGAAAUAUAGUACCGAAGUUCCUGAUUCCACGCUGCCAAGAAAAGCCUCUAGUGAGAUGUAAGGUGCCCGUACCGCAAACCGACACAGGUAGGCGAGGAGAGAAUCCUAAGGUGUGCGAGAGAACUCUCGUUAAGGAACUCGGCAAAAUGACCCCGUAACUUCGGGAGAAGGGGUGCUUUUUAGGGUGAAUAGCCCAGAAAAGCCGCAGUGAAUAGGCCCAGGCGACUGUUUAGCAAAAACACAGGUCUCUGCGAAGCCGCAAGGCGAAGUAUAGGGGCUGACACCUGCCCGGUGCUGGAAGGUUAAGGGGAGAGGUUAGCGCAAGCGAAGCUUUGAACCGAAGCCCCAGUAAACGGCGGCCGUAACUAUAACGGUCCUAAGGUAGCGAAAUUCCUUGUCGGGUAAGUUCCGACCCGCACGAAAGGUGUAACGAUCUGGGCACUGUCUCAACGAGAGACUCGGUGAAAUUAUAGUACCUGUGAAGAUGCAGGUUACCCGCGACAGGACGGAAAGACCCCGUGGAGCUUUACUGCAGCCUGAUAUUGAAUUUUGGUACAGCUUGUACAGGAUAGGUAGGAGCCUGAGAAGCCGGAGCGCUAGCUUCGGUGGAGGCGUUGGUGGGAUACUACCCUGGCUGUAUUGAAAUUCUAACCCGCGCCCCUUAUCGGGGUGGGAGACAGUGUCAGGUGGGCAGUUUGACUGGGGCGGUCGCCUCCUAAAGAGUAACGGAGGCGCCCAAAGGUUCCCUCAGAAUGGUUGGAAAUCAUUCGUAGAGUGUAAAGGCACAAGGGAGCUUGACUGCGAGACCUACAAGUCGAGCAGGGACGAAAGUCGGGCUUAGUGAUCCGGUGGUUCCGCAUGGAAGGGCCAUCGCUCAACGGAUAAAAGCUACCCCGGGGAUAACAGGCUUAUCUCCCCCAAGAGUCCACAUCGACGGGGAGGUUUGGCACCUCGAUGUCGGCUCAUCGCAUCCUGGGGCUGUAGUCGGUCCCAAGGGUUGGGCUGUUCGCCCAUUAAAGCGGUACGCGAGCUGGGUUCAGAACGUCGUGAGACAGUUCGGUCCCUAUCCGUCGCGGGCGCAGGAAAUUUGAGAGGAGCUGUCCUUAGUACGAGAGGACCGGGAUGGACGCACCGCUGGUGUACCAGUUGUCUUGCCAAAGGCAUAGCUGGGUAGCUACGUGCGGACGGGAUAAGUGCUGAAAGCAUCUAAGCAUGAAGCCCCCCUCAAGAUGAGAUUUCCCAUGGCGCAAGCUAGUAAGAUCCCUGAAAGAUGAUCAGGUUGAUAGGUCAGAGGUGGAAGCGUGGCGACAUGUGGAGCUGACUGAUACUAAUAGAUCGAGGACUUAACCAA